rnacentral:rRNA from 1 species
AUUGAACGCUGGCGGUAUGCUUAACACAUGCAAGUCGAACGGCAGCACAGUAUGUAGCAAUACAUAUGGGUGGCGAGUGGCGGACGGGUGAGUAACGCGUAGGAAUCUACCCUAAAGCGGGGGACAACCCGAGGAAACUCGGGCUAAUACCGCAUAAUCUCGAAAGAGUAAAGCCGGGGCAACCUGGCACUUUAGGAGGAGCCUGCGUCCGAUUAGCUAGUUGGUGAGGUAAAGGCUCACCAAGGCGAUGAUCGGUAGCUGGUCUGAGAGGAUGAUCAGCCACACUGGGACUGAGACACGGCCCAGACUCCUACGGGAGGCAGCAGUGGGGAAUAUUGGACAAUGGGGGCAACCCUGAUCCAGCAAUACCGCGUGUGUGAAGAAGGCCUUAGGGUUGUAAAGCACUUUAGUUGGGGAAGAAGGAUAGUUGUUUAAGAGAUGAUUAUUUUGACGGUACCCAAAGAAUAAGCACCGGCUAACUCUGUGCCAGCCGCCGCCGUAA